AUGGUAGUUGGGACCCCUGUGAAUUCUGAUACUGGCUUUUCCUUCAUGUCACACGUGAGCGGGUCUUGGAGGAAUACACCAACCUUUGUUGCUGUCCUCACCGACAUCAACUCUGAGCGCCACUACUGCGCUGCUUGACCUUCUGGGAGCGGGUGGAGCCUUCACAGCAGGAAACAAUGCGUGCUGAGGAUGCCACAGAAAGGGAGGAAGAGGAGGAUGAGGGAGGCCAGACGCACCUGUUGCCCACAGAGCCUGCCCCAUAUGCCCAGAUGUUUGCCCCAAAGACGCUGGUGCUGGUGUAGCGACUUGACCACACAGGUGUUCAGGUACGGCCUUGGCCUCAUCUAUGCCAUCCACGUGGAGGGCCUGAAUGUGUUCCCAGGGAAUGUAAUUAGGAACCUGCUGAUGUGCACCGUGCCCCUGGCUGGGGGCUCGCAGAGGACGAUCUCUUUGGGGGCUGGUGAUCGGCAGGUCAUCCAGACUCCACUGGCCGACUCGCUGCCCAUCAGCAGCUGCAGCGUGGCUCUGCUCUUCUGCCAGCUGGACAUCACCAAUGUGCUGUCUUUGUCUUGUGUCGCCCUCACAGAGCACAAGGUUCUCUUCCUGUCCCCUAGCUACCAGCAGCUUGCUGAUGCCUGCAGGGGCCUCCUGGCAUUGCUGUUUCCCCUCAGAUACAGCUUCACCUAUGUGCCCAUCCUGCUGGCCCAGCUGCUGGAGGUCCUCAGCACACCCAUGCGCUUCAUCAUUGGAGUCAACGCGGCCCUCUAGGCAGAGACCAGGAGCUGCUAGAUGUGAUCGUUGCUGAUCUGGAUGGAGGGAGAGUGACCAUCCCUGAGUGUGUGCACAUUCCACCCUUGCUAGAGCCACUGCAGAGUCAGACGCACAGUGUUCUGAGCAUAGUCCUGGACCUGGAGCUGGAGUUGGUUAACCUUGCCUUCCCUCCACCCACGACGUCCCCUCCUCCCUGAAGAUGCAGGACAAAGAGCUGCAUGCCAUCUUCCGGCGGCUCUUUGAUCGGCUGCUGCAGGGCUAUCUCUGGUGCCUGCAUGUCAUGCGCAUUCACCCGGAGCCUGUCGUCCACUUCCAUAAGGCAGCCUUCCUGGGCCAGUGUGGGCUGGUGGAGGACUAUUUUCUGAUGAAGGUGCUGGAGGGCAUGGCCUUUGCUCUCUUCAUGUUGGAGCGUGGGGUCCCGUACCGCCCCACGGAACUGUUUGAUGAGCUGGUGGCCCACGAGGUGGCAUGCAGGCGGGCGGAUGAGAACCACCCCCAGUGUGUCCUGGGUCACAUCCAGGAACUGGCAGAGCAGCUCUACAAGAAUGAGAACCUGUACCCAGACUUGGCGAUGCACAAGGUACAGAGGCGGGUGAGAGCAGCCAUCUGCGAUGGGCGCCCCAGCCCUUCCCCUAGCUGGAUGAGGGCACCAUGCAGCGGAUCGUGGACCAGGCUACUGCCAAGAUGCAAGGGGCACACCUAGCCAUGAAGGCUGAAAGGAGGACCACAGGGCCCUCAGGGCCCCGCAUGACUGCCAUACUGGAUCGGUGCAGUAGGCUGCAAGUCAACAGCGCUGGCCGGCCAGAGGUUGUGGGCACUUGCAUCUCCCGUGAGUUUGAGGGGAAGAUGCUUGAGGCCAAGAAGCUGCUCUCAGCCGUGCUGAGGGCCCUGAAGAGGCGAGCUGCCCGCUGCUGCCUCACCCAGGAGCUGCACCUGUAUGUGCAGCAGAACUGGGCGGUCCUGGACAACCAGCAGUUUGACUUUGUCAUCCAUAUGAUGAACUGCUGCCUGCAGGACUGCACUUCUCUGGACGAGCAUGACAUCUUGGCUGCUCUGCUGCCUCUGGUCACGAAGCUGGAAGCUGAGCCGGAGGGGUGAGGCAGUUCUCUUACAGCUGUGUGCAGGAGCACGUGGUGUGGAGCAUGCCAGAAUUCUGGGGGGCCAUGUUCUAUUGGGACACGCAGACUCAAAUCUGGGCCCUCUACCUGGAGCCAACUAAGGACCAGACCCCUGCCCAGGAGGUUGGGGAGGCACCUUCCCAGGAGGACGAGCAAGCACUCUGCCCUAGACGUGGCUUCUGAGCAGUGGUGCCUGUGGCCAUCCUUGAGCGGUGAGAAGCAGCAGGAACUGAUGCAGAAAGAGGAGAGCAUGGUGUUCAGCCAGGCCAUCCACUAUGCCAACCGCAUGAGCUACCUCCUGCUGCCCCUGGACAGCAGCAAGAGCCUCCUGCUUCAGGAGCUCCCAGGCUGGGUGACCUAGAGAGCACCAGCAACAGCCUGGUCCCCAACAGCAUGGCUGGCAGUGUGGCUAAGAGCUAUGACACGGGGAGCGGCUUUGAGGACACAGAGACCUGCAAUGUAGCUGGGGCUGUGUUCUGCUUCAUCAAUCGCUUUGUGGACAAGGUUUGCACAGAGAGUGGGGUCACCAGUGACCACCUCAAGGGGCUGCAUGUCAUGGUGUCAGACAUCAUCCAGAUGCACAUCAAGACCCUGAAGGCUGUGCGGCGGAAGAACUGGAGGCUGAUGUCCACCCAGAAACCAAAGCUACUGAGGCCGUGCCUGCUGUCUGGUGAGGAGUGUGUGCUGGACAGCCUGCGUGUCUACCUGCUACCGGAUGGGCGUGAGGAGGGUGCCGGGGGCAGUGCAGGGGGGCCAGCACUGCUCCCAGCUGAGGGCACUGUCUUCCUCAUCACGUACCACGUCAUCUUCACAGGGAUGCUCACAGACCCCCUGGUGGGGGAGCAGGUGGUGUUCCGCUCCUUCCCGGUGGCCACGCUGACCAAGGAGAAGUGUAUCAGCGUCCAGACCCCUGUGGACCAGCUCUUGCAGGAUGGGCUGCAGCUGCGCUCCUGCACAUUCCAACUGCUGAAAACGGCCUUUGAUGACAAGGUGGGGUCUGACAGUGUCGAACCCUUCUGCAAGCAGCUGCAUAAGCUGUGGUACACACUGGAUGUCAGGGCCACCUUCUCCUUCACCCUGGGAUCUGCCUACACACUGGGCAGGCCACCCCGUGUCACCAAGAACAAGGGUCUUUCCCUCAGAACCCUGUCCUGGAACCUGGUUAAGAACGCCAAGAAGACCAUUGGGCGGCAGCAUGUCACUCGCAAGAAGUACAACCCCCCCAGCUAGGAGCACUGGGGCCAGCCCCCUGAGGACCAGGAGGACGAGAUCUCAGUGUCUGAGGAGCUGGAGCCCAGCACGCUGACCCCGUCCUCAGCCCUGAAGCCCUCAGACCGCAUGACCAUGAGCAGCCUCCUGGUGGAAAGGACUUGCUGCCGCGAUUACCAGUACCUCGGCCUGGGCACCCUGAGCAGCCGCCUGAGCUGGGUCAGGUCUGAAUCCUUCUGCAUUUCUCCAGUCAACCGCAUGUAUACCAUCUACUGCAGCUACCCGGGGCUGCUGAUCACGCCCCAGAGUGUCCAGGACAAUGCCCUGCAGCAUGUGUCCCACUGCUACCGCCAGAACUGCUUCCCUGUGGUCUGCUGGGGCAGCGGGCGGUCCAAGGCAAUACUGCUGCGUUCUGGGGGCCUGCAUGGCAUAGGUGUAGUCGGCCUCUUUAAGGCCCAGAACGCACCUUCUCCAGGCCAGUUCCAGGCGGACUCGAGUAGCGUGGAGCAGAAGUAGUACCUGCAGGCUGUGGUCAGCUCCAUGCCCCGCUACUCUGGUGCAUCUGGAUGCAACACACUUAGCGGCUUCUCCUCAGCCUACAUGGGCAGCCACAUUCCCAGCCCCAGAGCCAGGGUCACCACACUGUCCAACCCCAUGGCAGCCUCAGCCUCCAGACUGACUGCACCCCGAGGUAAGUGGGGGCAGUGUCGGGAUUAGUGGGCGCAGCAGUGGGCUUGGUGCCAAUGUGGGCACCUGGCUAGCUGGCAGAGACGUGCUGGCCCCACCCCAGGCCAACGGGUGCCCCUUGCCCCCCAACCAGGACUUCCUGUGGCUGCAGCGAGCAGCCCUCUACAUCCUCCGGGACAAAGUCCAACUCAAGAGUGUGAGGCCAGAUCCCCUGCAGCAGUGGGAGCUGGUGCCCAUUGAGGUAUUCCAGGAGUGGCAGGUGAAGACUAGCUUCAAGAAGCUGCUGAAGGCAUGUGUCCCAGGCUGCUCUGCUGCUGAGCCCAGCCUAGCCUCCUUCCUGCCCUUGCUGGAGGACUGGAGUGGCUGAUUCAGAUCUAAAGCUGCUGCAGGUGUUGGUGCUGGUGGGGAGCUCCUGUACUCAAGCUCCUCCGUGCUGAUGGGCCUGGAGGACGGCUGGGCCAUCACCACCCAGGUGGUAUCCUUGGUGCAGCUGCUGUCAGACCCCUUCUACCGCAUGCUGGAGGGGUUCUGCCUGCUGGUGGAGAAGGAGUGGCUGUCCUUCAGUCAUCGCUUCAGCCACUGGAGAGACCACAUUCUGGCUGGACAGAGCAGCAGCUUCACACCAUCUUCCUGUAGUUCCUGGACUGCCUACACCAGGUCCACCUGCAGUUCCUCAUGGAGUUUGAGUUCAGCCAGUUCUACCUCAAGUUCCUUGGCUACCACCAUGUGUCCGGCUGUUUCCGGACCGUCCUGCUGGACUCUGACUAUGAGCACAUUGAGCUGGGGCUGCUGUAAGAGAAGGGGCAGCGCAGCGGCCAGCUGCCUUGCAGGUCUGUGUGUGGACGGGAUGAGCAAGAGGACACCCAUGUUCCACAAUUACAUGCAUGCACCCGAGGACAGAGAGGUCCUGCGGACCUACAGCAAUGUGUCCAAUCUGAAGGUAUAGGACUUCUACACUGAGGAGAUGCUGGCCGAGGGCCCUCCCUAUGACCAGAAACUGGCCCAGGGGCCCCCUGAGCCCCAAAGGAAGAAUGGUCUGAGGCAGGCACUCCCCAGAGCAGGCGCAGUAUGGUGUGGCCUGCUACCACAGCUGCCUCGGAGCCCAGCCUGACGCCAUCUCACGCCUGCUGGAGGAGCUGCAGAGGCUGGAGACAGAGCUGGGCUGACCCGCUGAGCGCUGGAAGGACACCUGGGAACGGAUGAGGCUGCACAGUGCCUCGAAGCCCGGCCAGAUGGACGUGGCACCCCUAGCUCCCUCCUAGCGUCCCCUGCACCCCACCACCGCUGCUCGCUGGUUACGUACCAGCAGGAGGAACCCCUGGGCUCCACCCUGAGCCUCAGCCUGGAGAGUGACCAGAGAAGUGGCUCGACCGCAUCUGGCUCCCACCAGGCUGCCCACUGCAGCACCAGCACCCUGUACCGCCAGUUCCAGACAGCUGAGAGUGAGAACAGGUCCUAUGAGGGCACUCUGUACAAGAAGGAGGCCUUCAUGAAGCCUUGGAAGGCCCGCUGGUUCAUGUUGGACAAGACCAAGCACCAGCUGCGCUACUACGGCCACCGUGUGGACACUGAGUGCAAGGGUGUCAUGGACCUGGCGGAGGUGGAGGCUGUGGCACCUGGCACGUCCACCAUGGGUGCCCCUAAGAGCUUGGAUGAGAAGGCCUUCUUUGACGUGAAGACAACACGUCUCGUUUACAACUUUUGUGCCCAGGACGUGCCCUCGGUCCAGCAGUGGGUGGACCGGAUCCAGAGCCGCCUGUCGGAGGCCUGAGCCUCCCGGACUUGCCUGGCUGCUCUGCUUCCAGUCGUUACUGACCACUAGGGGUGGGCAGGGCCGCCCUGGCCGUGUUUACAGCCCCGGCCCAGCCCUCGGCAGUAUUGAGGCCCCAAGCCCCCAGCACUUGUGUGUACAGGCCCCGUCCCUGCCCUGCCCGGCCCCGCCCUGCCUGGCCGGCCCUAACUUAUUUUGGCGUCACAGCUGAGCACCGUGCCGGGAGGUGGCCAAGGUACAGCCCACAAUGGGCCUGUAAAUAGCCCAGCCAGCCGGCUGCAGGCGAGUUGUUUCUAGAACCAGAGUCUAUAUAAAGAGAGAACUACUGCAAAAUAAAAUAAAAUAAAAUAAAAUAAAAAAUAAGAAUAAAUAUCUCAAUUUAUCACCUUUCAUCAAUUUUCGACAAUUUUGUCCAACUUUAUAUGUUAUUAUUUUUUUAACCUGAGAGGAUUUGCUAAUCUGUUAAUACCACCAUGGCUAAAAGUUCAAGUCAUUUAUUAUUUAUAUAAUAAGUCAUAACAUUGGAUUUUAGGGCUACUGGAAGAGUUCAAUGCUAAAUGCUCUUUUGGGUAUGUAAGGCCUCAAUUACAGAGCCACAGGCAGUUGUUUAUCCUUCCACUGACACUCUCUUUAUUUUUCUUUAUUUGUAGUAAUUUUGUUUAUUUGUA